CUCUCGCUCUGUCCAUUCCCCAUUCUCCAUCCCCCCGAUUGGCUAGGGUUUUCUCCGUCCAAUUUCUCUGGCGAUUUCCUGGUCAAUGGAGGACUGGAGGUAGUUCGGGGGUGAGAUUUGCUGCCCUCGGCGGUGGAUAGAGCGCGCCUACGGGAGAGGGUCGUGCUCGUCGGUGGAGCCGUGGAGGUGCGAGCCUCCUGCGGGAGGAGUGACGUGCUCGUCGGUGAAGGGACGCCUUGUUGUGGUGCGGGAGCGAGCAGCGCGGUAGUGCGGGGCUUAAGUCGAUGAGCAGGGCGCGCGUCGAAAGAAAUCGAGCCGCGCGGAAGUGCGGUGAGAUCUACGGCGCCGAGCAUGAAGCGCACCACAUGGCGCCGAUUUCGUCGGCGUCGGGCGAGCCUCGCAGGAUGCCUGGAUGCUUGGUGACGAACAAUCGUGAAAGAGAGGGCUACUUUGACUACGCGAGGUUAUCAUCAAGCUCAAAUUUCAGUUCUAUUUUGCGUGAUUUCUUUGUUCGGGAAUUAUGGCCAUGUUGGUGCUUAGGGCGUGGGGGGUUCGCCUUGCUGUUCCGCCCCCCGCUGGAUGUAUGGUUAUAAAGCUUUUCUGUGUAUGGCUGACAAUAGUUAUAGAUUGCUAUAUGGUUAGUUCAUUGCUGAGAAUGGUGUUGCCGUGUUGGUACUACAGGCAUUGUGCUACGUGACCAUCUUAGCCAAAUAAUUGUAGCAGCUCGAAACAUUCUGUCUCAGCAGCGCUGAAGAAUCGGAAGCGCUUGCCUUCAUUGGACGAACUGUCCAAUAAUUUUUGAGUCUGGCUGUAUCUCUGAAGUCCAAAAUUUGCAACUGGAAUUUUUUUCCUUAUCCCACCUAAGGAGCAUUUACUCAGAUUUUGCUUCCUUCCGCUGCUUUUCUUCAGAACUGGAAGUGUGCUGUUACUAGAAGAGCUCAAAAUUCUGCUGCUAAUGAGUAUACUGCCUGCGUGCGGCUGUUAGGUGUCGGAUCAAUCUGGAACAAUUUCUUCCCAGAUCGUGUAGCCAAAGCCUUGACUUUAGAUUGUAAGGGAACAUCUUAUGAUGUAUGAAUGAUGCUCUUUAUCCCUUGAUUUGUUUUUGGUUUGGACUGGCUCAGUUUGGAUUUCAAAUUAGUCCCAGCCUUAUUUCUUGGGUAUUGUACCUGAGUUUCUGACAGAGUUUUGGUUUGCGCUGGUGACAAAUUAAUCCUGAAUAACUUAAAAUCAUGAAGAUCAGUGUGCAACUUAACAGAUUUUUUGGUUUGGGCUAGCGACAAAUUAAUUCCCAUUGUGCUUAUGACAGCACAAUUAUUAUACCUGAGUUUUUUGGUAGAUUUUUACCUUGAUUUUUUUGCAUUAUUGUAGGUUCCUUAGGAACUUGGACCUUCUUUUUUUACUAUGAUGCCAGCUUCAUAGUGAUGAAAUAUAAAGUGAUUCAUAGUGUACUGUAUGGCAGAGAGGAAUUUCCAUAGUGUACCAUAUAUGUUUGUUGGACUGGGAUGUUUGUUUGUUAAGCAUGACUAUGGUUACUUAAUUCAUCUUAGCUGUUCUCUGGCACCAUGUGUUUAGUUGGUCCAUAAGCUGGUUAAGUUUUACUCUAGCUCCAUGAUUUUAAGAUACACACUGAUUUUUAGUAAGUUGUUUUUGUCCAUGAAUUAUGCAUAAGUUGUCCAUUAUUCUUGUUUUAAAAUAAGUUGUCUUAUCAUUAUGAAUAAGUUGACUACAGGGGUAAUUAAGUUGGCUGGUGGUUCUUAUUUAAGUAGCUUUUUAAUUAUUUCUUGCCAUGAAUCAUGAAGUUGUCCUUUAUUAAUGUUUCAAAUAAGUUGUUUUAUCAUUAUGAUUAAGUUGAAUACCAAGAGUAAUUAAGUUGACUACCAGUAGUGAUUAAGUUGGAUGGUGGUUCAUGUAUAAGUUGCUUUUUGAUUUUCCAUGCCAUGAAUCAUCCCAAAAGUUGCCCAUUAUUCAUGUUUCAAAUAAGUUGUUAUAUCAUUAUGAUUGAGUUGUCUACAAGGAGUAAUUAAGUUGGCCAUCAGUUUUAUACAUGCCAUGAAUAAUGUGAUGUGUUGCCCAUUAUUCAUGUUUGAAAUAAGUUGUUAUGUCAUUAUGAUUAAGUUGUCUACCAGGAGUAAUUAAGUUUGCCAGCAGUUCUUGUUUAAGUUGCUUUUUUGUUUAUCCAUGCCAUGAAUCAUGCGAUGUGUUGCCAAUUAUUCAUGUUUCAAAUAAUUUGUUCUGUCAUUAUGAUUAAUUUUUCUACUAGGAGUAAUUAAGUUGGCCAGUAGUUCUUGUUUAUGCUAUUUUUUUCUUAAAAUUUAUCCGUGCCAUGAAUCAUCCGAUGCGUUGCCCAUUAUUCAUGUGUCAAACAAGUUGUUAUGUCAUUAUGAUUAAGUUGUCUACCAGGAGUAAUUAAGUUGGCCAACCGUUCUUGUUUGAGUUGCUUUUGUAUUUAUCCAUGGUUCCAUGCCAUAAAUCAUGCUACGCAUUGCCCAUUAUUCAUGUUUCAAAUAAACUGUUCUGUCAUUAUGAUUAACAUACCACGAGUAAUUAAGUUGGCCAGCUGUUAUUGUUUAAGUUGAUUUUUUCUUUAUCCAUGCCAUGAACCAUGCCAUGAGUUGGCCGGUAUCUAUGUCCUAAAUAAGUUGUUUUGUCAUAUGACAAAGUUGUCCAGUCGGAGUAAUUAAGUUGGCUUCUGAAAAUGAUUAAGUUGGUUACAAGACCGUGCAUUUUUUGGCUUCCGAAAGUAAGUACCCUUGUUGUAAUACCAUGCUUAAGUUUGGUUUUGUACAAAAUAGCUAGUUUGUUCUGGAAACAAAAUAUGUCACCUCCCACUUUCUAUUAUUAAGCUUGACGAACAUUCUAGCUGGGCAUUUUGUUUGCUUGAUGCUUUCUCUCUUGCAUCUAACGCCAAACUUGCUAGAAGUAUUCUGGUUGCAUGGACCAGCUUCUUCGCCUUACUCAUUCUCAUCAUCAAGAUGAACAUGGGUAAUAUCUUCGGUAACAGUCAUUCUCUCUUGUUGCAAUUCUUCUUCCGUCUUCGGUGCACAAUACUUGUUACAGACAAACUGAUGUUUUGUAUGUGCUUUCCUUUUUGAUGUAUUAUUCUUGAUAAUGAACCCCACUUUGAGAGUGUACUUUUGAUAUCAUGCUUAAGUUGGUUUCUGAAAGUAAUUGAGGUGUUUUGAUAAUUAUACCUAAGUUGGCUCCUGAAAGUAAUCAAGUUGUUUUGAUACCAUGCUUAAGUUGGAUUCUGAGAGUUGUUUUCAUAAUUAUGCCUAAGUUAGCUUCUGAAAGUAAUCGAGUUGUUUUGAUACCAUGCUUAAGUUGAUUUGUGAAAGUAAUUGAGUUGUUUUGAUGAUUAUACCAAGUUGGCUUCCGAAAGUAAUCAAGUUGUUUUGAUACCAUGCUUAAGUUGAUUUCUGAAAGUAAUUGAGUUUCUUUGAUAAUUAUGUCUAAGUUGAUGCUUCUUGGCUGUAAAGAAGUGUGUUCCUUUCCUGCUGUCCCAACUUUGUUACCAACUGUGGUUUCAACACAAGAUCUUAAUGUUGAACUGCUUCAUGGUCAUGCAGCACUAGGUCUUGAGAUUCACCUACAACUGCAUCAGGGAUAGCUUGAGUGCAAAAUAGCGGCUCCACAUCGUUCAUAUCGACAACAUCUUCAAUAGGGGAACAUCCAAACCUGACAUCUGAUGAAUCACAAAUACAAACUAGUUUGCGGGAGGCGUGGCAGCAUGAUCAAGGAAGGUAAAAUGGUAUGCCUGCAACGACGCUACAACAUUAUGCACGAAGAUAGAUAUGACAGAUGCAUAGUGUUCACAAAUUACUACUGGCCAAAACUAGUCUUUUAGAGAACAUAUCUUCGAACUUGUAGUCCUCUUAGUACCAUGUCAAUCGUUUGUUGCGCAGACCUGGAACUACUAGUAGCAUGCUUGUUUGUUAGGAGACGCAAGUUUCUGGCACAACUGUCUUACUGUUUUUAUUUCCUAUUUCUCACCCUCAUAUAUGGUGGAUACAACUCAUGGUGGAUACAACUCAUGUAUACUAAUUUACUUCUGCUUAUGACAUGAUAAGUUGCUCCUGGGAGUGUUU